rnacentral:rRNA from 1 species
UACGAAGGGGGCUAGCGUUGCUCGGAAUCACUGGGCGUAAAGGGUGCGUAGGCGGGUCUUUAAGUCAGGGGUGAAAUCCUGGAGCUCAACUCCAGAACUGCCUUUAAUACUGAGGAUCUUGAGUUCGGGAGAGGUGAGUGGAACUGCGAGUGUAGAGGUGAAAUUCGUAGAUAUUCGGAAGAACACCAGUGGCGAAGGCGGCUCACUGGCCCGGUACUGACGCUGAGGUGCGAAAGCGUGGGGAGCAAACAGG